GGUAGGACCUCCGGACCUGGUGGCCGGCCCGGUCUUCAAAACCGGUGGGGGGCAUGGAGACAUGUCCCUGGGAGGUUCGAUUCCUCUGUCCUACCG
rnacentral:tRNA from 1 species